ACUCCUACGGGAGGCAGCAGUGGGGAAUAUUGCACAAUGGGCGCAAGCCUGAUGCAGCAACGCCGUGUGAGUGAAGAAGGUUUUCGGAUCGUAAAACUCUGUCCUAAGGGAAGAAACAAAUGACGGUACCUUAGGAGGAAGCCCCGGCUAACUACGUGCUAGCAGCCGCGGUAAUACGUAGGGGGCAAGCGUUAUCCGGAAUCACUGGGCGUAAAGGGUGCGUAGGCGGCUUAGCAAGCCAGGGGUGAAAGGCAUUGGCUCAACCAAUGUAAGCCUUUGGAACUGUUAAGCUUGAGUGCAGGAGAGGUAAGUGGAAUUCCUAGUGUAGAGGUGAAAUUCGUAGAUAUUAGGAGGAACACCAGUGGCGAAGGCGACUUACUGGACUGUAACUGACGCUGAUGCACGAAAGCGUGGGUAGCGAACAGGAUUAGAUACCCUGGUAGCACAGAG
rnacentral:rRNA from 1 species